GCUAAAGUGGGGACAGCUGAGAGGGGAAUAUGUAGGGUGCGAGCGGUAAUCGGAAUGACGUGGGGGAAAGGGUGCGCAGGCGGCAGAGCAAGGCGAUUGGGAAAGCCCCGAGCUUAACUUGGGAAUUGCGCUCGAAACUACGUGUCUGGAGUGUGGCAGAGGAAGGUGGAAUUCCACGUGUAGCGGUGAAAUGCGUAGAGAUGUGGAGGAACACCAAUGGCGAAGGCAGCCUUCUGGGCCAACACUGACGCUCAUGCACGAAAGCGUGGGGAGCAAACAGGAUUAGAUACCCUGGUAGUC
rnacentral:rRNA from 1 species